rnacentral:rRNA from 1 species
UACGUAGGGGGCAAGCGUUGUCCGGAAUCAUUGGGCGUAAAGAGCGUGUAGGCGGCUUGGUAAGUCCGCUGUGAAAGUCCAGGGCUCAACCCUGGAAAGCCGGUGGAAACUGUCAAGCUUGAGUCCGGAAGAGGCGAGUGGAAUUCCUGGUGUAGCGGUGAAAUGCGCAGAUAUCAGGAGGGACACCAAUGGCGAAGGCAGCUCGCUGGGACGGUACUGACGCUGAGACGCGAAAGCGUGGGGAGCAAACAGG